GCCUAUACAUGCAGUCGAACGAGCUUCCGUUGAAUGACGUGCUUGCACUGAUUUCAACAAUGAAGCGAGUGGCGAACUGGUGAGUAACACGUGGGAAAUCUGCCCAGAAGCAGGGGAUAACACUUGGAAACAGGUGCUAAUACCGUAUAACAACAAAAUCCGCAUGGAUUUUGUUUGAAAGGUGGCUUCGGCUAUCACUUCUGGAUGAUCCCGCGGCGUAUUAGUUAGUUGGUGAGGUAAAGGCCCACCAAGACGAUGAUACGUAGCCGACCUGAGAGGGUAAUCGGCCACAUUGGGACUGAGACACGGCCCAAACUCCUACGGGAGGCAGCAGUAGGGAAUCUUCCACAAUGGACGAAAGUCUGAUGGAGCAAUGCCGCGUGAGUGAAGAAGGGUUUCGGCUCGUAAAACUCUGUUGUUAAAGAAGAACACCUUUGAGAGUAACUGUUCAAGGGUUGACGGUAUUUAACCAGAAAGCCACGGCUAACUACGUGCCAGCAGCCGCGGUAAUACGUAGGUGGCAAGCGUUGUCCGGAUUUAUUGGGCGUAAAGCGAGCGCAGGCGGUUUUUUAAGUCUGAUGUGAAAGCCUUCGGCUUAACCGGAGAAGUGCAUCGGAAACUGGGAGACUUGAGUGCAGAAGAGGACAGUGGAACUCCAUGUGUAGCGGUGGAAUGCGUAGAUAUAUGGAAGAACACCAGUGGCGAAGGCGGCUGUCUAGUCUGUAACUGACGCUGAGGCUCGAAAGCAUGGGUAGCGAACAGGAUUAGAUACCCUGGUAGUCCAUGCCGUAAACGAUGAGUGCUAAGUGUUGGAGGGUUUCCGCCCUUCAGUGCUGCAGCUAACGCAUUAAGCACUCCGCCUGGGGGAGUACGACCGC
rnacentral:rRNA from 2 species